rnacentral:sRNA from 1 species
GAUACCAGUGGACAAAGGUCUGAACCCACGCAUGCUUGCAUGCAGGUGGGUGAAAGACUUUUGGACACGCCCAAACAUGAGCAUAAAAGGGAAGCGGCAGCUUCACGAUAUGCGAAUGGUGGGCGAGAAUUGCGGGAGUGCGAAGCACGGAGCAAUUCGAAGG